UCAGAUGAAAAAGGUGCAUUAAGAAUAGAAGAAUUUGAGGUAAACAAGAAAUACUGGAAAGGAGAAAGAAGGAAACUUAAAGAUGAUAUAGUUCUUGAUGAAAGUGAAAAUAUAACAAUUUAUGAAGAUGUGGAUAUCCAAAAACAAAAUCUUCAACGAAAGUGUAUCCCUAAAAACUAUUUUAACAGCAAGGCAGAUGAAAGGCAAGAAAUUAACAAAGUAUUGGAUGUUAUUUAUGCCUUGUUCACUAUAAUCAAACUGAAAAUGAU
rnacentral:lncRNA from 1 species